rnacentral:rRNA from 1 species
AGCAGCCGCGGUAAUUCCAGCUCCAAUAGCGUAUAUUAAAGUUGUUGCAGUUAAAAAGCUCGUAGUUGAAUUUUGGGUUUGGCCGAUUGGUCCGUUCUUGUAACGAGUACUGGUCGGUUGGGCCUCACCGCCUGGUGAUACGUAAUGUCCUUUAUUGGGUGUUGCGAGUAGCCAGGACCUUUACCUUGAAAAAAUUAGAGUGUUUAAAGCAGGCUUAUGCCGGAAUACAUUAGCAUGGAAUAAUAGAAUAGGACGAUGGUUCUAUUUUGUUGGUUUCUAGGAGCAUCGUAAUGAUUAAUAGGGAUAGUUGGGGGCAUUAGUAUUCAAUUGUCAGAGGUGAAAUUCUUGGAUUUAUUGAAGACUAACUACUGCGAAAGCAUUUGCCAAGGAUGUUUUCAUUAAUCAAGAACGAAAGUUAGGGGAUCGAAGACGAUCAGAUACCGUCGUAGUCUUAACCAUAAACCUAUGCCGACUAGGGAUCGGAUGAUGUUAAUUUUUUAAUGACUCA